rnacentral:rRNA from 1 species
CCCUUAGACGUUCUGGGCCGCACGCGCGCUACACUGACCAGUGCAACAAGCAUCCGUCCUUGGCCGACAGGCCCGGGCAAUCUUUGAACGCUGUUCGUGAUUGGGAUAGACCUUUGCAAUUAUGGGUCUUCAACGAGGAAUUCCUAGUAAACGCAAGUCAUCAGCUUGCAUUGAUUACGUCCCUGCCCUUUGUACACACCGCCCGUCGCACCUACCGAUUGAAUGGUCCGGUGAAAUCUCGGGACGGCGGCUUGGUCGCUUGCGUCCGACUGCUGAAACUUGAUUAAACCAUNUNAUUUAGNGGAAGGUGAANUCGUANCA